rnacentral:rRNA from 2 species
CAGCCGCCGCGGUAACACCAGCCCCUCGAGUGGUGGGGAUGAUUAUUUGGCCUAAAGCGUCCGCAGCUUGCCGGAAAAGUUUCCCGUUAAAUCCGACGUCUCAAGCGUUGGACUGCGGGAAAUACUGUCCGGCUAGAGAGUGGGAGAGGUUAGCGGUAUUCUGGGGGUAGGGGCGAAAUCCUUUGAUCCCCGGAGGACCACCAGUGGCGAAGGCUGCUGACUAGAACACGUCUGACGGUCAGGGACGAAAGCUGGGGUAGCGAACCGGAUUAGAUACCCGGGUAGUCCCAGCCGUAAACGACGCAUGCUAGGUGUUAGGUUGGCCACGUGCCACCCUAGUGCCGCAGGGAAGCCGUUAAGCAUGCCACCUGGGGAGUACGGCCGCAAGGCUGAAAUUUAAAGGAAUUGGCGGGGGAGCAC